GCUGAGCCCGAUCUCAGGGAUCAGGCUCUGUAUCCUGCAAUCCUUCCCUUUAAUGCCUAUAGGUACCCGGCCCAAACUGCUUUGCCAGCUUCUCAAUGGUCCCAAGCGCCCUGGGCUGAGUGCAGGGGUGUGUUUUUAGUUCAUUAUCAGGCCGAGGAAAGGGCCUGGGCAGAAGCAGGAGCUGCCUAGGGGGAGUAGGGGCUGGAGGGGGCCAAAGAUUUUUACUUUGCUGCCUUCUCCCCAUUUUUCAGUAGGGAAGGAAAAUCCUCUUACAGCAACCUCCCCCCUCCCUUGUGAGUGGGGCACAGCAGCCUCGCUCCCUCUCCCCCACAGCUGGGAGUGGGGCACAGGAACCCCCCUCUCCCCCACAGCUGGGAGUGGGGCACAGCAGCCUCGCCCCUCCCUUGUGAGUGGGGCACAGCAGCCUUGCCCCCUCUCCCCCACAGCUGGGAGUGGGGCACAGCAGCCUCGCCCCUCCCUUGUGAGUGGGGCACAGCAGCCUUGCCCCAUCUCCCCCACAGCUGGGAGUGGGGCGCAGGAACCCCCCUCUCCCCCACAGCUCUUGGAGUGGGGCACAGCAGCCUCACCCCGCUCCCCCACAGCUCGGAGUGGGGCGCAGCAGCCUCGCCCCUCCCUUGUGAGUGGGGCGCAGCAGCCUCGCUCCCUCUCCCCCACAGCUGGGAGUGGGGCGCAGGAACCCCCCUCUCCCCCACAGCUCUUGGAGUGGGGCACAGCAGCCUCGCCCCCUCUCCCCCACAGCUCUUGGAGUGGGGCACAGCAGCCUCGCCCCUCCCUUGUGAGUGGGGCGCAGCAGCCUCGCUCCCUCUCCCCCACAGCUGGGAGUGGGGCGCAGGAACCCCCCUCUCCCCCACAGCUCUUGGAGUGGGGCACAGCAGCCUCACCCCGCUCCCCCACAGCUCGGAGUGGGGCGCAGCAGCCUCCCCCCUCCCUUGUGAGUGGGGCACAGCAGCCUCACUCCCUCUCCCCCACAGCUGGGAGUGGGGCACAGGAACCCCCCUCUCCCCCACAGCUGGGAGUGGGGCACAGCAGCCUCGCCCCUCCCUUGUGAGUGGGGCACAGCAGCCUUGCCCCCUCUCCCCCACAGCUGGGAGUGGGGCACAGCAGCCUCGCCCCUCCCUUGUGAGUGGGGCACAGCAGCCUUGCCCCAUCUCCCCCACAGCUGGGAGUGGGGCGCAGGAACCCCCCUCUCCCCCACAGCUCUUGGAGUGGGGCACAGCAGCCUCACCCCGCUCCCCCACAGCUCGGAGUGGGGCGCAGCAGCCUCGCCCCUCCCUUGUGAGUGGGGCACAGCAGCCUCGCUCCCUCUCCCCCACAGCUGGGAGUGGGGCGCAGGAACCCCCCUCUCCCCCACAGCUCUUGGAGUGGGGCACAGCAGCCUCGCCCCCUCUCCCCCACAGCUCGGAGUGGGGCGCAGCAGCCUCGCCCCUCCCUUGUGAGUGGGGCACAGCAGCCUCACUCCCUCUCCCCCACAGCUGGGAGUGGGGCACAGGAACCCCCCUUUCCCCCACAGCUGGGAGUGGGGCACAGCAGCCUCGCCCCUCCCUUGUGAGUGGGGCACAGCAGCCUUGCCCCCUCUCCCCCACAGCUGGGAGUGGGGCACAGCAGCCUCGCCCCUCCCUUGUGAGUGGGGCACAGCAGCCUUGCCCCAUCUCCCCCACAGCUGGGAGUGGGGCGCAGGAACCCCCCUCUCCCCCACAGCUCUUGGAGUGGGGCACAGCAGCCUCACCCCGCUCCCCCACAGCUCGGAGUGGGGCGCAGCAGCCUCGCCCCUCCCUUGUGAGUGGGGCGCAGCAGCCUCGCUCCCUCUCCCCCACAGCUGGGAGUGGGGCGCAGGAACCCCCCUCUCCCCCACAGCUCUUGGAGUGGGGCACAGCAGCCUCGCCCCCUCUCCCCCACAGCUCGGAGUGGGGCGCAGCAGCCUCGCCCCUCCCUUGUGAGUGGGGCACAGCAGCCUCACUCCCUCUCCCCCACAGCUGGGAGUGGGGCGGAGGAACUCCCCUCUCCCCCACAGCUCUUGGAGUGGGGCACAGCAGCCUCGCCCCCGCUCCCCCACAGCUCGGAGUGGGGCACAGCAGCCUCGCCCCUCCCUUGUGAGUGGGGCGCAGCAGCCUCGCCCCUCCCUUGUGAGUGGGGCGCAGCAGCCUCGCCCCCUCUCCCCCACAGCUGGGAGUGGGGCGCAGCUGCCGCCCGUUUUCACCUCCCUCUGUCCCGCGGGGGGAGCGCGCCCCGCUGCCUGACUGCGCGCUCCCGGGGCUCCCCUCAGGGCGCCCCGCUUUCCUCGCGUGCGCGCCG
rnacentral:lncRNA from 1 species